rnacentral:rRNA from 1 species
AGGGUUGGUGCUAGUUGGUUGUCGUCAGCUCGUGUCGUGAGAUUGGUUAGGGUUAACGUCCCGCAACGAGCGCCAACCCCUUACGUUUAGUUGCUAACGCGUGAAGGCGAGCACUCUAGACGAACUGCCGUUGAACAAAACGGAGGAAGGUGGGAUGACGUCAAAUCAUCAUGCCCCUUAUGUUCUGGGCUACACACGUGCUACAAUGGCCGGUACAGACGGACGCAAAGCCGCGAGGCGGAGCAAAUCCGAAAAAGCCGGUCUCAGUUCGGAUUGCAGGCUGCAAUUCGCCUGCAUGAAGUCGGAAUCGCUAGUAAUCGCAGGUCAGCAUACUGCGGUGAAUACGUUCCCGGGCCUU